GGAUCUUCAGCGCGGCGUGAGUGUGGCCAGCGAUCGCCAGGGGCCAGUGUGCAGUAAGCCCUGGACUGGCCCAUCUCGUUUAAAUCUCACAGCCACCGUCGGAGAGGUUGCUACCAUUACGGGGCCUGCUUUCAGAGCUGUGAAACUGCCUUUUGGCUAUCACAUCCCUAAGGAACUCAGAUGUGAUGGCUGGAGCUUCAAGGACCAUUUUGAACAUGAGGCGAACAUUGACGCCUGGAAGACAUAUGCUGAGAGUGGUGAAACCAAAAGACAAAAGGCAUCUGGGUUCUUGAUGCAAUAGGUCAAAUCAACAUUGUGUGCUGCUUAACAGGACACACAGGAAGAAUACAGCAUCACUUCUAUUAUCUCCCUGCAAAGAUGCAUAACCUGAAUCUAACUAGGAGGGAGCAUCGAGCAAAUCCAGAGUGAAGGACAUAUCACAAAAGAGAUAGCCUAUCAUCCUCAAAAGCAGGACCAGAACAUCUGGGAGAAGCUGAGGAACUAUUGAAAGAGCCUCCAUACAACUGAGGGAAGCUAGGAAUCAUUCUGGACCAGAAAAAAGAACCAUAAAGACUUUUUGAGGAUGAUUAUAGCAUAUUGAAUUGCUGUGUGGAUUUGACAGUAAUGCUGCAUUGAUUCUGUGUCCUGAAUCUGAUAGUAGC